UGUCUACCCCACUCGAUCACCGAAUCCCACA
rnacentral:piRNA from 1 species